rnacentral:rRNA from 1 species
UUUUAUGGAGAGUUUGAUCCUGGCUCAGGAUGAACGCUGGCGGCGUGCCUAAUACAUGCAAGUCGAGCGAACGGACGAGAAGCUUGCUUCUCUGAUGUUAGCGGCGGACGGGUGAGUAACACGUGGAUAACCUACCUAUAAGACUGGGAUAACUUCGGGAAACCGGAGCUAAUACCGGAUAAUAUUUUGAACCGCAUGGUUCAAAAGUGAAAGACGGUCUUGCUGUCACUUAUAGAUGGAUCCGCGCUGCAUUAGCUAGUUGGUAAGGUAACGGCUUACCAAGGCAACGAUGCAUAGCCGACCUGAGAGGGUGAUCGGCCACACUGGAACUGAGACACGGUCCAGACUCCUACGGGAGGCAGCAGUAGGGAAUCUUCCGCAAUGGGCGAAAGCCUGACGGAGCAACGCCGCGUGAGUGAUGAAGGUCUUCGGAUCGUAAAACUCUGUUAUUAGGGAAGAACAUAUGUGUAAGUAACUGUGCACAUCUUGACGGUACCUAAUCAGAAAGCCACGGCUAACUACGUGCCAGCAGCCGCGGUAAUACGUAGGUGGCAAGCGUUAUCCGGAAUUAUUGGGCGUAAAGCGCGCGUAGGCGGUUUUUUAAGUCUGAUGUGAAAGCCCACGGCUCAACCGUGGAGGGUCAUUGGAAACUGGAAAACUUGAGUGCAGAAGAGGAAAGUGGAAUUCCAUGUGUAGCGGUGAAAUGCGCAGAGAUAUGGAGGAACACCAGUGGCGAAGGCGACUUUCUGGUCUGUAACUGACGCUGAUGUGCGAAAGCGUGGGGAUCAAACAGGAUUAGAUACCCUGGUAGUCCACGCCGUAAACGAUGAGUGCUAAGUGUUAGGGGGUUUCCGCCCCUUAGUGCUGCAGCUAACGCAUUAAGCACUCCGCCUGGGGAGUACGACCGCAAGGUUGAAACUCAAAGGAAUUGACGGGGACCCGCACAAGCGGUGGAGCAUGUGGUUUAAUUCGAAGCAACGCGAAGAACCUUACCAAAUCUUGACAUCCUUUGACAACUCUAGAGAUAGAGCCUUCCCCUUCGGGGGACAAAGUGACAGGUGGUGCAUGGUUGUCGUCAGCUCGUGUCGUGAGAUGUUGGGUUCAGUCCCGCAACGAGCGCAACCCUUAAGCUUAGUUGCCAUCAUUAAGUUGGGCACUCUAAGUUGACUGCCGGUGACAAACCGGAGGAAGGUGGGGAUGACGUCAAAUCAUCAUGCCCCUUAUGAUUUGGGCUACACACGUGCUACAAUGGACAAUACAAAGGGCAGCGAAACCGCGAGGUCAAGCAAAUCCCAUAAAGUUGUUCUCAGUUCGGAUUGUAGUCUGCAACUCGACUACAUGAAGCUGGAAUCGCUAGUAAUCGUAGAUCAGCAUGCUACGGUGAAUACGUUCCCGGGUCUUGUACACACCGCCCGUCACACCACGAGAGUUUGUAACACCCGAAGCCGGUGGAGUAACCUUUUAGGAGCUAGCCGUCGAAGGUGGGACAAAUGAUUGGGGUGAAGUCGUAACAAGGUAGCCGUAUCGGAAGGUGCGGCUGGAUCACCUCCUUUCUAA